rnacentral:rRNA from 1 species
UAAUACAUGCAAGUCGAACGGUCUUUCUAUGGAAGCUUGCUCCACUGAGAAGAUAGUGGCGAACGGGUGAGUAACACGUGGGUAACCUGCCCAUAAGAGGGGGAGUAACAUCCGGAAACGGGUGCUAAUACCGCAUAGUUUCUUGAUCGCAUGAUUGAGAAAGGAAAGACGGCCUUUGUGCUGUCGCUUAUGGAUGGACCCGCGGCGUAUUAGUUAGUUGGUGAGGUAACGGCUCACCAAGACGAUGAUACGUAGCCGACCUGAGAGGGUGAUCGGCCACAUUGGGACUGAGACACGGCCCAAACUCCUACGGGAGGCAGCAGUAGGGAAUCUUCCGCAAUGGACGAAAGUCUGACGGAGCAACGCCGCGUGAGUGAAAGAAGGUUUUCGGAUCGUAAAACUCUGUUGUCAGAGAAGAACAAGUUGGAGAGUAACUGCUCCAGCCUUGACGGUAUCUGACCAGAAAGCCACGGCUAACUACGUGCCAGCCGCGGC